GCUUCCUUAGCUCAGUUGGUUAGAGCGCAUCAUUCACAUUGAUGAGGCCUCUGGUUCGAAUCCAGAAGGAAGCA
rfam:Microgenomates bacterium GW2011_GWC2_46_7 TX64_C0008, whole genome shotgun sequence.